AGAGUCCACAUAUGUUCGGGGGAGGGACCCCAGAAGGCGGCUGACAGUAUUCCUUUAGCCAGAAAUCCCUUCAGGGAAGAGAAAGGUGCUCCCCUUUGCCUGCUUUUAUACUACAGACUGUUUCCAACUCCAGCUAGAAGUGACUAUUGCCGAUUAUGCUAAUCAGUGGCGACAAGCUCCCUUUGACUGCUCACUUCUCCAGUGAGGCUUCAAGCUUCUAGGCAUCAAGAUUAGUAAGGCUGUCUUCUGGGUGGGCCAGUUUGUUUCUCAGUGACACGAAAACAUUGCCUGGGGUGUGCACUGGUAUUUUCCAGAAAAUAUUUCAAGCAGAAUAUACUUAUUUUCCAGUUUUGAAAACAACUAGAUUGCCCAUCUCCAUUUCUCUCUAUCAUCUACUGUAUUAUUCUAUGGACAACUGCCACCCUAAUAAGCUCAAAGGAAACCAUGAGAGACUGUCUAACUAGACUUUUUGCUUGAUUUCCUGGACCCAAGAGCAGGAGUGAGGAGCUUUCUCCUGGUAAUUUUGUUAUAGAGCAAUCAAUGAGCUUGCUUCCUCAUGCACAUGGAGGCCAACACCAUGACAAAGGCUUUUGAGAAAAGAAAAGCUUUAUGGAGACCUGACUGGCAAGGAAACAGAAGAAAAUUCUCAUUUCUGUCUCUCUGAGCUGGGGUCUGGACCAGAUUUUAUAUGCAUAGGGUCAAGAAGGGAAGCCAGAAGUCAAGGCCACAGAAGACACAGGAAACAUCAUUUCCAAAGUGGGAGACAAAGCUGUUAACAGGAAAUUAUUUGUAAAGUCAAGAGCCAAGCAAAACAGAAAAAGGACAAGAAAUCUAUCACCUGUGGGUAUGAAUGGUUCUAGGGAAGUCUGUUGACAAUUGGAGGGUCUCAAAGGCGCUUUAUGGUACUUAUUUUAUGACCCUGAGUCUGGAGUCUGAUGAAUUAAAGAGGAAAUUCUGCUCUGGGCAACAUUUAAGAGAUAGUAUCUCCAGGCAGUAACUUUCGUAUUAACUCUCAUAAGAUUGAUGCCAUUCUGUCAUCUAAAGUGUGGACAAAAGUAGCAUUAAAGCAAAAUGAAA
rnacentral:lncRNA from 1 species